rnacentral:piRNA from 1 species
UGCAUGCAGGCAGAACACUGUACGCACAAU